UACGAAGGGGGCGAGCGUUGUUCGGAUUUACUGGGCGUAAAGGGCGCGUAGGCGGCUCUGUUUGUCAGGCGUGAAAGCCCUGGGCUCAACCUGGGAAUUGCGUUUGAAACUGGAAGGCUAGAGUGUGGCAGAGGGGGGUGGAAUUCCACGUGUAGCAGUGAAAUGCGUAGAGGAUGUGGAGGAACACCGAUGGCGAAGGCAGCCCCCUGGGUCAAGAUUGACGCUCGAUGCACGAAAGCGUGGGGAGCAAACAGG
rnacentral:rRNA from 1 species